rnacentral:rRNA from 1 species
GGGGAAUAUUGGACAAUGGGCGAAAGCCUGAUCCAGCCAUGCCGCGUGUGUGAAGAAGGUCUUCGGAUUGUAAAGCACUUUAAGUUGGGAGGAAGGGUUUCUGGCUAAUAUCCAGGAAUUUUGACGUUACCGACAGAAUAAGCACCGGCUAACUUCGUGCCAGCAGCCGCGGUAAUACGAAGGGUGCAAGCGUUAAUCGGAAUUACUGGGCGUAAAGCGCGCGUAGGUGGUUCGUUAAGUUGGAUGUGAAAGCCCCGGGCUCAACCUGGGAACUGCAUCCAAAACUGGCGAGCUAGAGUAUGGCAGAGGGUGGUGGAAUUUCCUGUGUAGCGGUGAAAUGCGUAGAUAUAGGUAAGAAGGCCGGUGGGGAAGCCGAUCUCCUGGGUUGACUCUGACACUGAGGUUCGAAAGCUAGGGGAGCAAACC